rnacentral:rRNA from 1 species
AUACGAAGGGGGCGCGCGUUGUCCGGAAUGAUUGGGCGUAAAGGGCGCGUAGGCGGCCCGGUACGUCUGGAGGGACAGUCCUGUUUUUAAGAUGGGAAUUGCUUUGGAUACUGUCGGGCUUGAGUGCCGGAGAGGUCAGUGGAAUUCCCAGUGUAGCGGUGAAAUGCGUAGAGAUUGGGAGGAACACCAGUGGCGAAGGCGACUUACUGGACUGUAACUGACGCUGAGGCGCGAAAGUGUGGGGAGCAAACAGGAUUAGAUACCCUGGUAGUCCACACUGUAAACGAUGAAUGCUAGGUGUAGGGGGUAUCGACCCCUUCUGUGCCGCAGUCAACACAAUAAGCAUUCCGCCUGGGGAGUACGGCCGCAAGGUUGAAACUCAAAGGAAUUGACGGGG